CCUACGGGAGGCAGCAGUGAGGAAUAUUGGUCAAUGGGCGCGAGCCUGAACCAGCCAAGUCGCGUGAGCGAAGACGGUCCUAUGGAUUGUAAACCUCUUUUGUCGGGGAGCAAAAGACGCCACGCGUGGCGUUCCGCGAGUACCCGAAGAAAAAGCAUCGGCUAACUACGUGCCAGCAGCCGCGGUAAUACGGAGGAUUCAAGCGUUAUGCGGAGUUAUUGGGUUUAAAGGGUGCGUAGGCGGGCGGAUAAGUUAGAGGUGAAAUCCCGAGGCUCAACUUCGGAAUUGCCUCUGAUACUGUUCGGCUAGAGAGUAGUUGCGGUAGGCGGAAUGUAUGGUGUAGCGGUGAAAUGCUUAGAGAUCAGACAGAACACCGAUUGCGAAGGCAGCAUACCGGCGCCCGACUGACGCUGAAGCACGAAAGCGUGGGUAUCGAACAGGAUUAGAUACCCGUGUAGUC
rnacentral:rRNA from 1 species